AUUGAACGCUGGCGGCAGGCCUAACACAUGCAAGUCGAACGAGUGGCGGACGGGUGAGUAAUGUCUGGGAAACUGCCCGAUGGAGGGGGCUACCUUCUGGAAACGGUAGCUAAUACCCCCUACCAUCGGAUGUGCCCAGAUGGUAUUAGCUAGUAGGUGGGGUAACGGCUCACCUAGGCGACGAUCCCUAGCUGGUCUGAGAGGAUGACCAGCCACACGGGAACGGGGAGACGGUCCAGACUCCGACGGGAGGCAGCAGUGGGGAAUAUUGCACAAUGGGCGCAAGCCUGAUGCAGCCAAGCCGCGUGUAUGAAGAAGGCCUUCGGGUUGUAAAGUACUUUCAGCGAGGAGGCGUUACUCGAAGAAGAAGCACCGGCUAACUCCGUGCCAGCAGACGCGGUAAUUC
rnacentral:rRNA from 1 species